CUUGGGCUGUGAGCUCCAUGCGUUUCCUUUGAAGCUCUGGCAUCGAAUCAAGGUAUAUAUUUCUCUGGCCUGGACGUCUCCCAAACAGAGAGAAAUUCACGGAUCCCCAGGCACCGACCGAUCUUAUAACGAAAAGUAAGAAACGGAAGUACCCACAAUUCUAGUGUGCAUUUCGCCCCUUCUCGGAAUAUUCUAGAAAGAAAAUAGAGACAUUUUGUUAAACAAAUGAUUGGAGAAUAUUAUGAAAUUAUUUUAUACGAUAUUACAAUGUACAUAUAUGUGUAAUGUUAUGGCUGUAAGUCACCUGUCAAUACAGCAUACGCUACUACGCGUACGCUCGCAAUAUCUUAUUGAUACUCUACAUACUUUGUUUUAUAUUUGACACAGCGGCCAAAGAUAAUUACCUGAAGACGAUAAAUCAGAUUUCCUUUAUACACAUAGAAAAUUACAUUUUAGCCUUGUCUAGCCCUUCCUUUUCUUCGUUGGUGUGAUAUCACGGGAAGACGGGACAACGGAAGUCGUGUUAAUAUGUAUUACAUUAUAUCGUAGAUAGGAUAAUGUGGUUGGCGUAACGCUUGUAAACCAACACUAUUUCGUUAUCGUUUCAUCAGCAAUCUCAACGUUCGUCUCACCUCCCGUUCAUUUUCAGAUAUUUCACGGAAGUAAUAACACACUCGAGUGAAAUUUUAUUCCCAUUCCGUUGAUGUAACUCGUUCAACUUGCCGAUAAACGAACGCUUCAAACAAGUUACUUUGAAAACGUUCAUUUACCAGCGAAUUAACAGAAGUUUGAGGCGAUAAGAACUCGAAACAUCAAACCUGCUGAAAUAAGUUCUAU
rnacentral:misc_RNA from 1 species